rnacentral:rRNA from 1 species
GCAUGGGAUCGAUUUAGCCAUGCUAGUCGCACGGGCUUAGACCCGUGGCGUAUAGCUCAGUAACACGUGGCCAAACUACCCUAUAGACCAUGAUAACCUCGGGAAACUGAGGCUAAUCGUGGAUAUCGCAUUCACGCUUGAACUGCCGAAUGCGAGAAACGUUCCGGCGCUAUAGGAUGUGGCUGCGGCCGAUUAGGUAGACGGGGGGGUAACGGCCCACCGUGCCAGUAAUCGGUACGGGUGGUGACAGCCAAAACCCGGAAACGGUAUCUGAGACAAGAUACCGGGCCCUACGGGGCGCAGCAGGCGCGAAACCUUUACACUGCACGACAGUGCGAUAGGGGGACUCCAAGUGCGAGGGCAUAUAGCCCUCGCUUUUCUCGACCGUAAGGUGGUCGACGAAUAAGGACUGGGCAAGACCGGUGCCAGCCGCCGCGGUAAUACCGGCAGUCCGAGUGAUGGCCGCUGUUAUUGGGCCUAAAGCGUCCGUAGCUUGCCGUGAAAGUCUAUCGGGAAAUCGACGUGCUCAACGCGUCGGCUUCCGGUGGAAACUGUACGGCUUGGGGCCGGAAGACUCAGCGGGUACGUCCGGGGUAGGAGUGAAAUCCUGUAAUCCUGGACGGACCACCAAUGGCGAAAGCACGCUGAGAAGCCGGACCC